UUGAAAGGGAAACGAUUGAAGUCAGUCGUACCUGUGGGUAAUCAGCCUUUUGGGUGUGAUUAUGUGGAGUGUGAAGAGUUAAACGCCUUUAUGCCUGCAUAUUCGUGCACUUUGGGUGUAUUUACCCGUGUGGUAAGUUAACAUCAAUUUCGGUGAUCAUAAAAUGGCUGGAGGAAUGUAGCUUCGAUCUUGUAUUGAAGUGUUAUAGCCUUCGGUAGAUGUGAUGAUCGGGAUUGAGGAUUGCAACGGAUACCCCUCGGGGCUACCUGUCUGAUCUCUGAUCGUUGCUCUGGUGCCGAAAGCUUGCUUACGGUUAUCAAAGUCGAUGGUCAAUAGGUUAGAACGGGUUAAAUUCGUUAAGGAUGUUGACGUA
rnacentral:rRNA from 1 species